GCAAAAUUGAAAGCAAAAUCCCGAGCAAAAACGCAAACAAUGACCAAUUGAGAGUAAGGGGAUAAAAUGAGGAGUUUUGAGAGCACACAUAUAGUGCUCGCAAAUUUGUGAGCAAACCGUGCUCGCGAUCGUGACAAACGGUGCAGACAAAUGCAUGUGCUCGCAAGUUAGCUAGCAAAGUACCUCUGUUCGCAAAUUUCCGAGCAAAAAUAGGUGCUAGUUAAAUACUACUUAAUAACCUAAUUCUUCUCAUUUCCUCCAUUCCCACACGCCCACCCUUACAGCCGUAGUUAUAGCCCUUGCACUCCCUCUCCCUCUCUAUCUCUAAUUAACCAUCAGUUCUCCCCUCUCCCUUCCUCUACACAACUUCAAUGUCGCAGCCCUAGCUUUGCCGUCGCAUUUCAGCCGCAUGUCGCCGCAGUUCCGCCGCUGUCAUUAACGAUCACUCAAGCUGAGCGUAAAUCUGAUGAUGAUCGCCGGAGAAGCUCUGGAAUCAAACAUCACGAUGAUCGGACCGCUCGUUCUCCAAGCAAUUGCUCAUUGCAUAUCCCCUAAUCGAAUAUAUCGAAGGCGUGCAUCCGCGAUUUCACAUCAUCGCGGCUCCUUCUGCCGCUCUCAUCGGAGAUUCUCGGUAGCAAUCCACUCGAUUCCCCUCUGCUUGGCUUCGCCGAGAAAUUGAUAAAAUUUUUAUGGAAUUUCGUUUUCUGGAAUGAUUCGUCGAAUUUACUAUCACGAAAAUGGGGAAAAAUCAAGCCUACAAAGCGAUGCAAAGAUCUCGGUUUGGCUCGAGCUCCGCCGCGCCGGAUGAGGUCGAAGAUAGCAUGGUGAGACAUGUCUACAUAUUCAAUAUCUCCUCAAAUUGUGGUGUUAAAGAAGGCAGUUGGGCAGAGAUUUGCUGUAAUCCAAAUCGACUGUCAACAGUCAAUAAUUUCUUACCUUUUAGUAAUUUUGGCUAAAGGCACUUUGCAGAACUUUGGAGUUAUGGGAUCAGAUGCAGAAGGGUUACAAAAGAACAUGUUUGGUGUGGGAUCAUGUUAGGAUGCAAGAGCUGUGCUGAUCCACAAGGAUUUCGCUAUGUGAAG